rnacentral:rRNA from 1 species
AUUGAACGCUGGCGGAAUGCUUUACACAUGCAAGUCGAACGGCAGCACGGACUUCGGUCUGGUGGCGAGUGGCGAACGGGUGAGUAAUGUAUCGGUACGUGCCCAGUCGUGGGGGAUAACGUAAUGAAAAUUACGCUAAUACCGCAUACGAUCUAUGGAUGAAAGCGGGGGAUCGCAAGACCUCGCGCGAUUGGAGCGGCCGAUAUCAGAUUAGGUAGUUGGUGGGGUAAAGGCCCACCAAGCCAACGAUCUGUAGCUGGUCUGAUAGGACGACCAGCCACCCUGGAACUGAGACACGGUCCAGACUCCUACGGGAGGCAGCAGUGGGGAAGUUUGGACAAUGGGCGAAAGCCUGAUCCAGCCAUUCCGCGUGCAGGAUGAAGGCCCUCGGGUUGUAAACUGCUUUUGUACAGAACGAAAAGGUUUCUACUAAUACUAGGAGCUCAUGACGGUACUGUAAGAAUAAGCACCGGCUAACUACGUGCCAGCCGCCGCUGUAA